CCUACGGGGGGCAGCAGUGAGGAAUAUUGGUCAAUGGCCGGAAGCCUGAACCAGCCAUGCCGCGUGAAGGUCAGUGCCCUAUGGGCGUUAAACUUCUUUUGUGCGGGAGCAAUAAUGGUCACGUGUGGCCAGACGAGAGUACCGUACGAAUAAGCAUCGGCUAACUCCGUGCCAGCAGCCGCGGUAAUACGGGGGGUGCAAGCGUUAUCCGGAUUUAUUGGGUUUAAAGGGUGCGUAGGCUGUGAGGUAAGUCAGCGGGGGAAUGCCCCCGCUCAACGGGGUGAAGUGCCAUUGAUACUGCCUUGCUGGAAUGCGGUUGCGGUGGGAGGAAUGUGUGGUGUAGCGGUGAAAUGCAUAGAUAUCACACAGAACACCGAUUGCGAAGGCAUCUCACGAAUCCGCGAUUGACGCUGAUGCACGAAAGCGUGGGUAGCAAACAGGAUUAGAUACCCGUGUAGUC
rnacentral:rRNA from 1 species